UACGAGGGGAGCAAGCGUUGUUCGGAUUUACUGGGCGUAAAGGGCGCGUAGGCGGCCACGACAAGUCACUUGUGAAAUCUCCGGGCUUAACUCGGAACGGUCAAGUGAUACUGUCGGGCUAGAGUACAGAAGGGGCAACUGGAAUUCUCGGUGUAGCGGUGAAAUGCGUAGAGAUCGGGAGGAACACCAGCGGCGAAGGCGGCCCCCUGGGCCGCUCCUGACGCUGAGACGCGAAAGCGUGGGGAGCGAACAGG
rnacentral:rRNA from 1 species